GGUGAACGCUGGCGGCGUGCCUAAUACAUGCAAGUCGAGCGAACGGACGAGAAGCUUGCUUCUCUGAUGUUAGCGGCGGACGGGUGAGUAACACGUGGAUAACCUACCUAUAAGACUGGGAUAACUUCGGGAAACCGGAGCUAAUACCGGAUAAUAUUUUGAACCGCAUGGUUCAAAAGUGAAAGACGGUCUUGCUGUCACUUAUAGAUGGAUCCGCGCUGCAUUAGCUAGUUGGUAAGGUAACGGCUUACCAAGGCAACGAUGCAUAGCCGACCUGAGAGGGUGAUCGGCCACACUGGAACUGAGACACGGUCCAGACUCCUACGGGAGGCAGCAGUAGGGAAUCUUCCGCAAUGGGCAAAAGCCUGACGGAGCAACGCCGCGUGAGUGAUGAAGGUCUUCGGAUCGUAAAACUCUGUUAUUAGGGAAGAACAUAUGUGUAAGUAACUGUGCACAUCUUGACGGUACCUAAUCAGAAAGCCACGGCUAACUACGUG
rnacentral:rRNA from 1 species